CCCUACGGGAGGCUGCAGUGAGGAAUAUUGGUCAAUGGGCGCAAGCCUGAACCAGCCAUCCCGCGUGAAGGAAGAAGGCGCUAUGCGUUGUAAACUUCUUUUCCAGGGGAAGAAAACCCCCGACGUGUCGGGGCUUGCCGGUACCUUGGGAAUAAGCAUCGGCUAACUCCGUGCCAGCAGCCGCGGUAAUACGGAGGAUGCGAGCGUUAUCCGGAUUUAUUGGGUUUAAAGGGUGCGUAGGCGGAUUAAUAAGUCAGUGGUGAAAACCUUCAGCUUAACUGGAGAACUGCCAUUGAUACUGUUAGUCUUGAGUACGGUCAAGGUAGGCGGAAUGUGUAAUGUAGCGGUGAAAUGCUUAGAUAUUACACAGAACACCGAUUGCGAAGGCAGCUUACUGGGCCAUUACUGACGCUGAUGCACGAAAGCGUGGGGAGCGAACAGGAUUAGAUACCCCGGUAGUCCA
rnacentral:rRNA from 1 species